rnacentral:rRNA from 1 species
GUGGGGAAUUUUGGACAAUGGGCGAAAGCCUGAUCCAGCAAUGCCGCGUGCAGGAUGAAGGCCUUCGGGUUGUAAACUGCUUUUGUACGGAACGAAAAAGCUCCUUCUAAUACAGGGGGCCCAUGACGGUACCGUAAGAAUAAGCACCGGCUAACUACGUGCCAGCAGCCGCGGUAAUACGUAGGGUGCGAGCGUUAAUCGGAAUUACUGGGCGUAAAGCGUGCGCAGGCGGUUAUGUAAGACAGAUGUGAAAUCCCCGGGCUCAACCUGGGAACUGCAUUUGUGACUGCAUGGCUAGAGUACGGUAGAGGGGGAUGGAAUUCCGCGUGUAGCAGUGAAAUGCGUAGAUAUGCGGAGGAACACCGAUGGCGAAGGCAAUCCCCUGGACCUGUACUGACGCUCAUGCACGAAAGCGUGGGGAGCAAACAGGAUUAGAAACCCCGGUAGUCC